CCUUCAGGAACUGUCUACAUUGAGCUG
rnacentral:piRNA from 1 species